GACGAACGCUGGCGGCGUGCUUAACACAUGCAAGUCGAACGGAAAGGCCCUGCUUUUGUGGGGUGCUCGAGUGGCGAACGGGUGAGUAACACGUGAGUAACCUGCCCUUGACUUUGGGAUAACUUCAGGAAACUGGGGCUAAUACCGGAUAGGAGCUCCUGCUGCAUGGUGGGGGUUGGAAAGUUUCGGCGGUUGGGGAUGGACUCGCGGCUUAUCAGCUUGUUGGUGGGGUAGUGGCUUACCAAGGCUUUGACGGGUAGCCGGCCUGAGAGGGUGACCGGCCACAGAGGGAUAGGGGAGGGGCCAGGAGGGCUACGGGAGGCAGGGGCGGGAAAUAUACGAAAAAGGGCGGAGGGCGGAUGGAGGAACGCCGGGUGGGGAAUGACGGCUUUCGGGUAGGAACCCACUUGCACGUGUCACGGAGCGUGUGGAAGGUAAAUAGGUAAAGAGGCACGGGCUAAUUCGGU
rnacentral:rRNA from 1 species